rnacentral:rRNA from 1 species
UAGUGACGCGCAUGAAUGGAUUAACGAGAUUCCUAC